GGCAACUAUAUGAUAUUUUUUCUUGUUCCAAGUGUUAACCGAAUAUUUUUUGGUCUCAGUAACCGGUGCAGCCACAGUCACAAUAGCAGGGGUAAUCAAGGAGGCCGUCACCAUAUUGGUUGCGGUAUUGUACUUUCAUGAUAAAUUUACAUGGGUGAAAGGACUCGGUCUCUGCACUAUUCUGUUUGGUGUCAGUUUAUUCAACUGGUACAAAUAUCUAAAGCUUCAGAAGGGCCAUUUUGGUGAAGGCGAGGUGGCAGUGCUUCACACAACAGAUUUUGCUGGCAAAUAUGUUAUUCUUGAGGAGAUGGAUUAGCAGGAUAUCUGAAACCUUCAUAGCAACAUCUUCAAAGUAAGUCCCUUAGUUAGACUGUUGUUAAGUGAUGCAUGAAGCUAUAAUAACUUAUUUAUCUAUAGAUAUAUAUAAAUUGACUUUUCCCUUUUUAAUCAUAAGAUCAUUAGUGCUUGUCUUGGUCAUCUCAGGGCUUGAAUGUUGAUGUUAUCAACUACUACUGCUAUAUGGCACUCAUUAAUACUUUGUCAAUGGAGAAAUGUACCACUUUUAUUGUGCACCUUUCUU